GCCGUUUCUUUCUAAACAAAAGGCAUUAUCAUGAAGUUCCUUAUUUUAAGUGGUAUACUCUUAGCUGCAGCAUACGCAGCUCCAAAGAGAGCAAAACGUGAGGCUUACGCUCUUCCUGACGGUGCUGACCUUUUAGUAGGACCAAUUAAAACAACAUUCUCUUGCUUCAAUGAUGGUUAUU